UACGGGGGGGGCAAGCGUUGUUCGGAAUUACUGGGCGUAAAGGGCGCGUAGGCGGGCAUCCAAGUCUAUGGUGAAAUCCGGCAGCUUAACUGUCGAACUGCCGUGGAUACUGGGUGUCUCGAGGGAGGUAGGGCGUGCGGAACUAUUGGUGGAGCGGUGAAAUGCGUUGAUAUCAAUAGGAACUCCGGUGGCGAAGGCGGCACGCUGGACCUCUUCUGACGCUGAGGCGCGAAAGCCAGGGGAGCAAACGGG
rnacentral:rRNA from 1 species